AUGCACAGUGCUAACCCCGGGCUUGUCGGACUGGAAUCCUUUGAAGAAUGAAUCCCCAAUGACUGUGCUAGAUCCACCAUGCCAUUCAGUGUUGCAGGUCAUGAUGCCUCGAGCUCGUGAUUGGUCUGUGUCAGCGUAAUGGAUACAUUC
rnacentral:snoRNA from 1 species